rnacentral:rRNA from 1 species
AUUGAACGCUGACGGCAGGCUUAACACAUGCAAGUCGAGCGGGGUGAUGGUGCUUGCACUAUCACUUAGCGGCGGACGGGUGAGUAAUGCUUAGGAAUCUGCCUAUUAGUGGGGGACAACAUUUCGAAAGGAAUGCUAAUACCGCAUACGUCCUACGGGAGAAAGCAGGGGAUCUUCGGACCUUGCGCUAAUAGAUGAGCCUAAGUCGGAUUAGCUAGUUGGUGGGGUAAAGGCCUACCAAGGCGACGAUCUGUAGCGGGUCUGAGAGGAUGAUCCGCCACACUGGGACUGAGACACGGCCCAGACUCCUACGGGAGGCAGCAGUGGGGAAUAUUGGACAAUGGGCGGAAGCCUGAUCCAGCCAUGCCGCGUGUGUGAAGAAGGCCUUAUGGUUGUAAAGCACUUUAAGCGGGGAGGAGGCUACUUUAGUUAAUACCUAGAGAUAGUGGACGUUACUCGCAGAAUAAGCACCGGCUAACUCUGUGCCAGCCGCCGCCGUAACAC